rnacentral:rRNA from 1 species
UAAUACGUAGGGUGCAGGCGUUAAUCGGAAUUACUGGGCGUAAAGCGUGCGCAGGCGGCUCCUUAAGUCAGAUGUGAAAGCCCCGGGCUUAACCUGGGAACUGCGUUUGAAACUGGGGGGCUAGAGUGUGGAAGAGGGGGGUGGAAUUCCAGGUGUAGCAGUGAAAUGCGUAGAGAUCUGGAGGAACACCGAUGGCGAAGGCAGCCCCCUGGGCUAACACUGACGCUCAUGCACGAAAGCGUGGGGAGCAAACAGGAUUAGAUACCCUGGUAGUCCACGCCCUAAACGAUGUCAACUAGUUGUCGGGGAAGUAAUUCCUUGGUAACGAAGCUAACGCGUGAAGUUGACCGCCUGGGGAGUACGGCCGCAAGGUUA